UGAGAAGAAUGAAAAAUCAGACAUGAUGGUGCUAAGCUAGCAAGUAAUUUGUGACCCAGAACAACAGUUAACAAUGGUAUCUGCUGAUCCACAUCAACAAGGGAUGGACAAGCAUCCCAAUCCAUAAGUGACAGCGUGGGCGUGGAGCAGAAUGCACUCAGCCCUCCCCACCCAAUAACGGAGGGUGUGUGUGUGUGUGUAUGGGGGACACUCUCCCAAGCAGCAAGGUCUGGGGAGCACGUUCUGGGGCACUACCAGCUCCUGAGCUAAGUCUAGUAGUCAUAGGAGUGGGAGAUGGUGUUCCUUCUGUCGCUGCCCUACUGGAAUGGCAUGCGUACCCUGUCCACCCAGACUCCUAUGGACUGGGGGGGGCAGGAAGAAUUGAAAGAAGGAAGGCAGCCACUGGAAUGCAGUCCUGAUGACUGGGGCAGGGGGCCAUUUGAGCAAAGCAGGCAAGGGGACAGGCUAGCAGGGCAGGGCAGAGAAGGUGUACAGGUCUCUGGAGCUCAGUGGGGCUAGAUGUGGCUCUUGGAGCUAGAAUGAGAGUCCUACUCUCAGGAGGAAGUUCAUGGAUUUUUUUCUGCCCUGUGAACAACCUCUGUCAAGGUUCACCAAGGGCCCAUGGGAACAUCUUCACAUAGCUCUGCUGUCAUGGAAAGACUGUCACUGUAGUUCAUCAUUCUAGGGGCCCCCCCCCCACUCUCUGUUAUUCCAGGCCUAUCAAGGGUAGCAUUAAAUGGCCAGAUUUCUGGGGCUUCCUUUCCCCCUUCGGAAACCAUUCCUCAGCUUAACUGAUCUCCCAGGCAGGAGGCAUCUUUGAACACACAGGCCAGCUCUUCCUUUUUGACUUUCAUUCAGUGGCUGCCAGACAUGCCUCCUUCGCAGUCAGUAAUCCCUUGCUAGUUGAGAAGGGGACCAGCUGUAGAUUAACAUAAUUUUUGGGUGGAUAAGCCGUGCUGAGUUUUGCCCGCAUGCCACUCCUCACUUCCUGUCACAUACAGGGGAAGAAACCACAUCCAAAACAGCUCUCAGAAUAUCCAGCUGUUCGGGGAGGAUUUAAAAUGUGGCCAAGGCACAGAGAGAACCCAAGGAAGUUUGUGCAGGCUGGAUCUUGUUUGCCAGUGGCACAACUUGGGAACUGGUCUGUUGCCAUGUGACAUGUCCUACGUCUCUAUGGACCAUUUAGUGCUAUCUGCAGAUGGGCCUGAGUUGAAAGUUCUGAUUCAGAUCUGAGCCCCUCCGAGCUUGGGAGUAUUUGAGGAUCUAGCUGUAAUAUUCUGUCCAGAUGCCCGAAGCUGUGGCAAGGAUGUGGGGAAGGGAGCUCUGGCCUGAGAGUUUGCUUUCAGCCCAUCUCGUGUGAUAACAGGCCCAUGCUUAAGCUUUUGGCACAUGAAACAGCCAACACUUGGGGAGAAAACGCCUUUUCUGGACCUAGCAAUAAUGGGGUGAAAACUACCCCACCCUGCAGGAGGGGAAAACAGACAGACUGCUUCCCUUUCCUAUGGGAUGCCUUCAUUAUCAGAGUUGAAGGAGUUGCACAGACACACUCGAUUCUGUACGGUGCUGAGUGCUUCCUGCGAGGUGCUGAGAGUCCUCAAUUCCCACUUACUUUACCAGGAGCUGAGGGCACUUGAGGAUACGCAGCAGCAUACAGGAGGUGCUCAGCACCUCGUGGGAUUGUUCCCCCACAUUCAUUUUCGUUAGCACUAGCUCACGCAUGAGAAAAGCAAAGCUGCAUUUUUUGCAGUAUACAGGGCUGCAGAACGCAACCAAGAGCACUUACUGUUUGCUGAAGUGAAGCCGCAGUCUCCUGCGCAGGCCUGAAAGGAGACAGGCAAUAGCUCAGGAGAACAGUUCCUUGGCUUCUAGCACUCCCACCCCACAAAGCUCUCUCCUGAACUCCUGAUAUUCCCUGCUCCCACUCCCAGACAUCUCUGCCUCCUCAAGACCCCCUCCCCUUUCCCCCACUGGAGCUGUCCUGCCAGGGUUUCCCAGCCUGCAGCUGCUCCUUGAGGCCCUGUCUGAAGGGUGCGGAUGCUCCUCUAUGCUGGGAUGAGGAGCAGAAAUGUGUGAGGGCCGCCAUCUUGGCUGAUGCACCUGGGAUUGACUGGGGACCUCCAGAGCUAAAAACGUGAGCAGUUGAAGCGCCGUAGCUGGGGGUUGUAACAGAUGCAUAUCCUCCGGGGAUCAGCAGAGAGAGGGGACCUGUAACACCUGUAACACUGGGAUUUGUGUGCACACAGCCCUAGGCUGCAGGCAUUUUUGGGGGGGUCCCUAUGGGAUUUGGGGUGGAUGACGGGUUUCCUGUGAGACCUGUCUCCCCAUCCUCUGCUUCCUUCCCAAAUGGAUCUUUGGACCCACCAGAGGCUCUCUGCAGGGUGCUGGGGCAGAAGAGAGUGCCCCCUUCUGAGCAGGAGAGGUGAAUUCCACACAUGGAGAAACCCCCCUCAGAAGAGUGAAAAGCUCCGGGAGCAGUGCGUCCCAUUUGCUGUGCCCAGCACUUACGCUGAAAGCGACGGAUGGCAAUAACCAGAGACAGCAGUAAAAUAACAGCACAUGUCGCUAAUGGGGCCCAGAUGAAGCCGCUGCAGGAAGAACCUAGAAACCAAAAGAAACACACAAACAGGCACGGGCAGCAUUGCCAAACCAGCAGUUGGAGCCAUGCGUGUGGAUCCUGUGCUUCUAAGGAGUGCCCCAGAUUCCAUCAGCCCGGCACCAGGGUCCUGCUGGAUCAGAUUGCAGGAAUCAGCAGUGCCAGCUUCCCCACACAGCAGCAUCUCGGCCAAGCCUUGUGAGAUUUUGGAGUGCGCGUGCUAGUCUGAAACAGCACUUACCCACGCUAAGCUCCGUUCCAUUGCCAAAGAGCAGCUCCGAGUAUUGGGAGACAGCGCAG